AAAUGGAAUGAUGGGAAUUUAAACCUCUUCCAGAGUAUCAAUUGGAGGGCAAGUCUGGUGCCAGCAGCCGCGGUAAUUCCAGCUCCAAUAGCGUAUAUUAAAAUUGUUGCAGUUAAAAAGCUCGUAGUUGAAUUUCUGCUGCAUCGUCGCAUCUCUUGCUGAGUGCUUCGUUUCGGCUUAUUUCGGAUUGAUUUUUUCUUUCCGGAUGAUUACUUUGAGAAAAUUAGAGUGCUCAAAGCAGGCUUUUGCCUUGAAUAGUUUAGCAUGGAAUAAUAAAGUAGGACUUUGGUUCUAUUUUGUUGGUUUUAGGUACCAAAGUAAUGGUUAAUAGGAACAGUUGGGGGCAUUCGUAUUUAACUGUCAGAGGUGAAAUUCUUAGAUUUGUUAAAGACGAACUACUGCGAAAGCAUUUGCCAAGGAUGUUUUCAUUAAUCAAGAACGAAAGUUAGGGGAUCGAAGACGAUCAGAUACCGUCGUAGUCCUCC
rnacentral:rRNA from 1 species